rnacentral:sRNA from 1 species
UAAAUUUCACUCCAGACCAUAUCGUAAACUCCUGAUAACUAAUAUGUUAAACGUUUGCGUACACUGACUCCUGAGGCAACGUUUGGGUUGCGGGUAUGCCGGGAUUGCGACAUAAAACGGAAGGAGGGCAUAGAAUUGAUGGUACGCAAUAAAUUAGCGAGGGAUUUUGGCCUAUCCGGAAGAAAAGUGGAAGAGGGAAAAGUGAUAUCAGGUUAAAACCAGGAGGAUUUUUAUUUCUGGUUGUGGGAAAAUCGCUCUGACACACCGAUUGUAAGGUAAUUAAAAGGAGUUUAUUGAUGAGCACAGAUUUGAAAUUUUCAAUCACCACAACGGUCAUUGUUCUGGCACUGAUCGUCUGUGGCGCGUUAACUGCCGUACUGCACUGAUUA